rnacentral:rRNA from 1 species
AUGGAACAUUCAAAUACCUUCGUGAUAGAGUAUGGGAGAGGAUUAAUGGGUGGAUGGAAAAGCUCUUGUCCGGCGAUGGAAGUGCUAAUAAAGUCAAUGGCACAAGCUAAUCCGAUAUUCUCUAUGUCUUGUUUCAGAUUACCAAGGGGUCUUUGUGAAUGUGUGACUUCUCUUAUUCAUCAAUUCUGGCGAGGAAGCAAGAAUGGGAAGAGGAAAACAAAAAACCUAGGCGGUUUGGGCUUCCAGAACAUGGAAUUAUUCAACCUUCCUCUCCUCUCACGGCAAGCAUGGCGACUACUUCAAGAACCGGGGUCCUUGAUCGCCUGCAUUCUG